GCCAGACUCCUACGGGAGGCAGCAGUGGGGAAUAUUGCACAAUGGGGGAAACCCUGAUGCAGCGACGCCGCGUGAGUGAAGAAGUAUUUCGGUAUGUAAAGCUCUCUCAGCAGGGAAGAAAAUGACGGUACCUGAUUAAGAAGCCCCGGCUAACUACGUGCCAGCAGCCGCGGUAAUACGUAGGGGGCAAGCGUUAUCCGGAUUUACUGGGUGUAAAGGGAGCGUAGACGGUGAUGCAAGUCAGAAGUGAAAGCCCGGGGCUCAACUCCGGGACUGCUUUUGAAACUGUGUGACUGGAGUGCAGGAGAGGUAAGCGGAAUUCCUGGUGUAGCGGUGAAAUGCGUAGAUAUCAGGAGGAACACCAGUGGCGAAGGCGGCUUACUGGACUGUAACUGACGUUGAGGCUCGAAAGCGUGGGGAGCAAACAGGAUUAGAUACCCGCGUAAA
rnacentral:rRNA from 1 species